ACCUGACUGGCUCAAUGAGUGGAGCAUGUGACUCUUGAUCUCAGGGUUGUGAGUUCAAGCCCCAUCUUGGGCA
rnacentral:tRNA from 1 species